GUGAACGCUGGCGGCGUGCCUAACACAUGCAAGUCGAACGAUGAUUUAGAGCUUGCUCUCCUGCUUAGUGGCGCACGGGUGAGUAUACCAUAGAUAAUGUACCUCUUAGUUUGGGAUAGCCACUGGAAACGGUGAUUACUACCAGAUACUCCUUCUCGUUAUAAUACGAGUCGGGAAAGUUUUUUCGCUAAGAGAUCAGUCUAUGUCCUAUCAGCUAGUUGGUGAGGUAAUGGCUCACCAAGGCUAUGACGGGUAUCUGGUUUGAGAGGAUGAUCAGACACACUGGAACUGAGACACGGUCCAGACUCCUACGGGAGGCAGCAGUGAGGAAUAUUGCACAAUGGAGGAAACUCUGAUGCAGCAACGCCGCGUGGAGGAUGACGCAUUUAGGUGUGUAAAAUACUUUUAAGAGGGAAGAUAAUGACGGUACCUCGUGAAUAAGCACCGGCUAACUCCGU
rnacentral:rRNA from 1 species